rnacentral:lncRNA from 1 species
CUUGCUCAAAUUUGGCUAUUGUGAGCUCUGGAAGUUUGUUCCUGUGUUCCUUUGAUAUAUUCCUAUCAACAAGGUGGUUUGCCUUUUUUUUUUUUUUUUAAAGCACUUCCUUGCUUUCUGGUACUGAAAGAUGUUCUAGGUUCAUAUUAUAUAUUUUACACCAGUCCUAGUCUCAGCCCUUUCUCCAAGCAACUCUGGUUCCUUUAGUCAAAUAAUGUUAAAAGAAACCAAGUCUGUGUGCUAGUCAAGCUCAUAGCUACUGGAGUGUUUUUAAUACUGGAGUGUUUUCUAUAUCUCAGAGAUAGUCAGACAUACGUUGUUAUUUUCUUGUCCCUCCUCCCUCCCAAUUUCCUUCCUCUGUUCCACUGUUCUCCCUUCUAUUUUCAUGGAAUCCCCACCCCCAACUUCUUUUUCUUAUUUUGGACUAGCUUUUGCAUAUGAGAGGAAAUAUUCAACCUUUGGCUUUCUGAGUCCGAAAAGUUCACAUACUUUGACCUUAGAUUCUUCUCUUGUUCUCAUCUCUCUUUUUUUCCUGGGAGGUACUAUCUCCAAUUCCUCACUAUCUGUCUACUUCACAACCUGCUAUAAUUUGCCUGUAUACCUUAGCUUUACACUGAAACACUGUGCUAAAGGGUCUGUGUUAGAUGAAAGACUUAGGCCCUUUGCAUGUUCAUGGAAAGUUUUAGUUUGCAGGGUAAUUAAAUUCCAUCUCAAGUUUGUAAAUUUAGUUAAAAUAGGACUUUCCCAUCUAUUACCUCAUUUGAUCCUUACAAGUAUCCAUAUCUUUCUCUUUAUUUGAAGUAGCUAUUCCUCCAUUAAUUUAGUCCAUCAUGAAUUUUCCUGAAAGCUCGAGAUAGCACUUUACCCAAACUCCAUCCAAACCCUAAGAAUUGUUCACUAGUUUCACAAAACCCCUAGGAAAUCAGCCAAACAAUGUGCUAUUUCAAAUUCCAGGUGCCUUACACAUCUAUUCUAUUCCCACCAGACCAGAGUCAUAGAAGACACUAAUGCUUUGACUCCUAUCUUACUACAUUAAUACCUCAUUUGCUGUUUGCAUUGUAAAAACACACUUUUGUCCAUUAUGAGAAAUUAUGUAAAUGAAGAGGCUGAGAUUCUAAGUGAUAGAAAUGAAGGCAAUAUAAGCCUUAUUAAGAAUUGGGAUUUCUGGGGCUUGGGUUGUGGCUCAGUGGUAGAGCAUGUGUGAGGCAGCACUGGAUUUGAUCCUCAGUACCACAUAAAAAUAAAUAAAUAAAGGUAUUCUGUCCAUCUACAAUUAAAAAAAAGUAAAAAAAAAUGAAUUGGUAUUUCUACUACUAUUAUGGAGUAUCAGAAUUUGCUAUUAGACUUAAUAUAUUAUGAUAUAUUGUAUCAUGUCAUAACUUGGAACACUCUAAAUCUUACACUCCAGAGUUCUAUUUCCUGAACAAUAGCUCCUCAUUCCAGUAUUCACCCACUUCCCCCCAAUAUCUUUCCUCUUUCUAUUGUAGCAAAGUAUAUAGAAUAUUGGGCUGGGGUAUAGUUCAGUAGUAGAGCACUUGCAUAGCAUAUGAGAUAACCUGGGUUAAAUCCUUGACACCACAUGCACAAUAAUACAGAAUAUGAAAUUUACUACUUUAAUCAUUUUAAGUGUAUAAUUCAGUGGCAUUAAAUACAUUCUCAAUGUUACAAAAUCAUUGCCACUAUUCAUUUCCAGAACCUGUUUAUCACCCAAACAAAAACUCUAUACCCAUUAAACUCCCCAUUUCUCUUGUUCCUGGUUGUUCCAUUCUACUUUCUGUCUCAAUGGCUUUUCUUAUUUUAAAUUCUUCAUAUAAGUGGAAUCAUAUGGCAUUUGUCCUUCUUUUGGUCUGAUUUAUUUUACUGAGCAUGUUUUCAAGGUUCAUUCAAGUUGUAGUAUGUAACAGAAUUUCAUUCCUUUUAAAGGCUGACUAUUAUUCCAUAGUAAGUAUACAUCACAUUUUGUUUAUCCAUCAUCUGUUGGAUAUUUGGGUCGUUUCCAACUUUUAGCUAUUGUGAAUAAUGCCUCUAUGAACAUUGGUAUACAAGAAUUUGUUUGUAUCCCUGCUUUUCAUCCUUUUGAGCAUAUAUUUGGGAAUAGAAUGAUCAUAUGGCAAUUAUAUUUUUAACUUUUGAAGAACUGCCAAACCAUUUUCCAGAGCAGCUGCACCAUUCCACACAUCCACCAAUGAUGUAAAAGUGUUUUGAUUUCUCCACAUCCUCACCAAGACUGGUUAUUUUCCUUUUUUAAUAAAAAAAUAUAUUAAGCCAGGUGUGGUGGUACACAGCUAUAAUCCCAGGGAGGCUGAGGCAAGAGGAUUUCAAGUUCAAAGCCAGCCUCAGAACUUAGAAAGGCCCUAAGCAACUUAGUGAGACCCUGUCUCAAAAUAAAAAAUAAACAGGGCUAGAGAUAUGGCUCAGUAGUUAAGCAUCCUAGGUUCAAUCCACAGUAUCCUUCUCCCCAAAUUGUUUUAAAAUAUAUAUAACAAAAUUCAUCAUUGUGUCAACCUGGCUGAACCAUGGUGCCCAGAUAAUGGUGAAAUGUUAUUCUGCAUGUUUUUGUGAAGGUGUCCUUGGAUGGCAUUAACAUUUAAAUUGGUAGGUUUUCGGUAAAGCAGAUUGCUCUCCAUAAUGUGGGUAGGCCUCAUAUAAUCAGGUGAAGGACUGAACAGAACAAAAAGACUGACCUACUCUAAACUAAGAGUAUAUUCUGGCUGGGCACUGUGGUGCACGCCUGUAACCCCAGUGGCUUUGGAGGCUGAGACAGGAGGAUCAUGAGUUCAAAGGCAGCCUCAGCAAAAGUGAGGCACUAAGCAACUCAGUGAAACCGAGUCUCAAAAUGUAAAAUAGGGCUAGGGAUGUGGCUCAGUGGUUGAGUGCCCCUGAGUUCAAUCCCUGGUACCUGCCUCCCCCACAAAAAAGUAUAUUCUAUAGUAGUUUUUCAACUUGAACUGCAACAGUGGAUCUCUGCUGGGGCUAUUGCCUGGUAACCUUUAGGCUUGAAAUAUAACAGCUCAUCUUUGGGUCUCCAGCCUACUAGCUAAUACUGGAGAUUCUGGAAUUGCCAGUCUCCACAAUUGUGUCAGCCAAUUCUUUAAAACAGAUCCUUUAGACUGUUUACAUUUCUCACCUUCAAUUAUCAUUACCUUCAAUUUCACUGAAAUGAACUCCAAGUUUUUUCUACCUGCUUAAAUUUGUUAUUGAAUGUGUUUAGUAAAUUUUUUAUUUUAAUAAUCUGUGUUUUUUUCAGCUCCAGAAUUAGCUCUUUUGCUUCUAAUAAUUUUUAUCUCUUCACUGCUAUACUCAUUUUGUUCUUACAUUGUUUACCUGAUUUCCUCUCAUUCUUUAUGCAUGUUUUUAUUUAUUUAUUUAUUGGUACUGGGGAUUAAACUCAGGGACACUUGACCAUUGAGCCACAUCCCCAGCCCUAUUUUGCAUUUUAUUUAGAGACAGUCUCACUGAAUUGUUUAGCAUCUCGCUUUUGCUGAGGCUGGCUUUGAACUCAUAAUCCUCUUGCCUCUGCCUCCUGAGCUGCUGGAAUUAUAGGCUGUGCCAUUGCACCUGGCCAUUUUCCUUUAUUUUUAAAGCAUAUUUAAGACUGGUGUUUGAACAUCUUUCUCUAGUAAGUUCUAUAUCUGGGCUUCCUCAGGCUAAUUUUUGUCAAUUUAUUUUGUCCUUUUGAAUAGACCAUUUUUUUUUGUUUCUCUGUAUAGCAUUGUAAUUUUCUUAUUGAGAAUUGAGCAUUUAAUUACUUAAGUUGUAAAUCAUAUUCUCUAUCUUCCCUAGGUUAAUUUUUGUUAUUAUUCAAAGUUAUAGUGAUAUGUGUGUUUUAGAACUUUUUUGAACUUUACAAAGAUUAUUCCUUGUCAUGUAUAUCCACUGGUGUCUUUGUUCCUUUAGCUCAUGUUCAGCUAAUGUUUUGACAGAGAUGUCCUUGAAUGCUAGGAGCUCUCCAAAUCUUUGCAUAUUGGCUCUGUGCCAUCUAAGGUUGUUUCUGAGAAUACAUCCUUCCUCAUCAUGCUUGUGUCUUUUUUUUUUUUUAGUUGUAGUUGGACACAAUACCUUAAUUUUAUUUAUUUUUAUGUGGUGCUGAGGAUCGAACUCAGUGCUAGGUGAGUGCUCUACUGCUGAGCCACAACCCCAGCCCCCAUGCUUGUGUUUUUUUCAGCUUUUCCCAGAGGACUGAAUUUCUCUAAGUUCCUUACAGUUCUACAAGUAGUACCUGCUGCCUUCCCCCUCUUAGAUCACAUGAGGCAAAGAUGAGUGCCUUGUAUCAUUUAACUAUCCCCCAUGUAGGAUAGAACAGGUGUGCACAAUAAUUUGCAAAUAAGGUGUGUUCUGCUUCUUUUUGUUUAAGGGAAGAACUGAGAACCUGUGUUGCUUCUUCAAGACCAAAUCUGCCAACCACUUCAGUGGGAAGGACAUGGAUCAAGG